rnacentral:rRNA from 1 species
AUUGAACGCUGGCGGCAUGCCUUACACAUGCAAGUCGAACGGUAACAGGUCUUCGGAUGCUGACGAGUGGCGAACGGGUGAGUAAUACAUCGGAACGUGCCUAGUAGUGGGGGAUAACUACUCGAUAGAGUGGCUAAUACCGCAUGAGAUCUACGGAUGAAAGCAGGGGAUCGCAAGACCUUGUGCUACUAGAGCGGCCGAUGGCAGAUUAGGUAGUUGGUGGGAUAAAAGCUUACCAAGCCGACGAUCUGUAGCUGGGCUGAGAGGACGAUCAGCCACACUGGGACUGAGACAAGGCCCAGGAUCCGACGGGAGGCAGCAGUGGGGAAUUUUGGACAAUGGGCGAAAGCCUGAUCCAGCAAUGCCGCGUGCAGGAUGAAGGCCUUCGGGUUGUAAACUGCUUUUGUACGGAACGAAAAGCCCCGGGUUAAUACCCUGGGGUCAUGACGGUACCGUAAGAAUAAGCACCGGCUAACUACGUGCCAGCCGCCGCAGUAA